rnacentral:lncRNA from 12 species
CUGCAGGUGACCGCCAUUCCCCACGCCCACCGCAGGGGGGCAGCACUUCCCAGACACAAGAGCUCUGCUCUGCCUUGGCUGAGAAUUUCAAACUGGCACCAACACCAGGGUGGAGUGGACUCCGUGUGACCUUGGGGCCCACGCACGGAGGUUGUCCCCAUGCCGCGCAGCUGUGCACCCAAGGAGGAGCCCGAAGAGAGAGGAAGUGGGGUGUGCUGGCUGAGAGAUGUCAGCUUCUCCCUUCGGCCACCUGCAAUAGACUAGUGGUCCCCGGACCACUAGUCCUUGAGGGCCCUCUGAGCCCCUCUCUGCUCUCCACUCCUCCUGUGUUCUCUGCUUCCAGGGCCCACCCCCUCCAUGUGAGGACCGAGAUCUUCCUGCAGUCCUCCCGGCCAGCUGCCUUCGUGGCAAGUGGGGCUGUGCAUGGGCCGUCCAACCUCACCAUGAGCUUCUUGUCCCCUUCCAUCCAGAUUGUCCCUGCUGUGGGGAGUUGGUGUGAUCUUGGAAUUCAAGAGGCCUGAAGUCUAGUCCCCACUUGGCCAUAGACGCCAUGCCCUGGAAGCAAGCCCCUGAAUUUCUCGGAAUUUCUUCCCAUGUCCACUGCACAGAACAGCAUUCCUUCCAUCAUCUACACCAUGGAGGUGGCACAGCCUUUGAAAGAAGAGUGCUUGAUGGCACUUAGCAUAUGCCUCAGCAGUGCAGUAAGUGCUUUGCUUGUUCACUGGGUUUAGUUACAGCCAGGUGACCCAGGGCUCCAGGUUAUAACAGCUGCAGCCCCUCCCUGGGUGGCCUCGGCACCACUGUUGUUCUGAGGUUUGGGGUUCAGACUGAGUCACUGCACAUGCUCCUGUCUCGUGCCUUAUGCAAGAAAGAAGAAUAUAGUUCUUUGUACUUUGCUUGGUUUACCCAGCAAUCUUCAUGCCCAAGCCCGGGUGCUGCAAGGACAUGACUCUGCAGAUAAGGAAGGAUGCCUAGGUCAAGGUUCCCAGAAGGAAGGGUGUGAGCCGAGGUCUCCGGGUUCUAAGUACUUGAUUAACAAUCUGCCAGAUGUUGUACAUUUGAAUGAAGAAAACAUUCAGCAUAUUGGAAUGAUUCACAACACAGGCUUCUUUGUAAUUCAGACUGUGCUGUUCUCAGUUUCACCAACAGUGAUUGGGCUGUUCUAGAAGCCCAGGCUUGGCCACCACUCUCUUGCCUGAACCCCACAGCCCCAGACCUUGGGACCUCAGUGAUGGUCUCAUCACUGCCCUCAGAU